GAUGAACGCUGGCGGCGUGCCUAAUACAUGCAAGUCGAGCGAAUGGAUUAAGAGCUUGCUCUUAUGAAGUUAGCGGCGGACGGGUGAGUAACACGUGGGUAACCUGCCCAUAAGACUGGGAUAACUCCGGGAAACCGGGGCUAAUACCGGAUAACAUUUUGAACCGCAUGGUUCGAAAUUGAAAGGCGGCUUCGGCUGUCACUUAUGGAUGGACCCGCGUCGCAUUAGCUAGUUGGUGAGGUAACGGCUCACCAAGGCAACGAUGCGUAGCCGACCUGGGAGGGUGCUCUGCCACGCGUGGACGAAGACACGGCCCAGACUCCUACGGGAGGCAGCAGUAGGGAAUCUUCCGCAAUGGACGAAAGUCUGACGGAGCAACGCCGCGUGAGUGAUGAAGGCUUUCGGGUCGUAAAACUCUGUUGUUAGGGAAGAACAAGUGCUAGUUGAAUAAGCUGGCACCUUGACGGUACCUAACCAGAAAGCCACGGCUAACUACGUGCCAGCCGCCGCAGUAA
rnacentral:rRNA from 1 species